AAACCAGCACCUCAAGUGGUCAGGAGGAUUAUUGGGCCUAAAGCAUCCGUAGCCUGUUCUAUAAGUUUCCGGUUAAAUCCAUUAGCUCAACUAAUGGGCCGCCGAAAAUACUGUGGAACUAGGGAGUGGGAGAGGUAGACGGUAUUCGGUAGGAAGGGGUAAAAUCCUUUGAUCUAUUGAGGACCACCUGUGGCGAAGGCGGUCUACCAGAACACGUUCGACGGUGAGGGAUGAAAGCUGGGGGAGCAAACCGGAUUAGAAACCCGAGUAGUCC
rnacentral:rRNA from 1 species